UUGUAUUGGCGUUACCUAUAAAACAAGACAUGCAUGCUCAGAGAGAACACACAUGAGAAGCUGUGACAGGAAGGAGAACGCAUCAUGAAGCGUUCCACUUCCACUUCAACUCCAUCUUCGUCCUUGGUACGCAGCGUUGUGAUCCUUGCUCUGAUAUGCUGUUCCCACGUCGUCAUCAUGUGUGUAUUGUGCAUGCAGCACGUAUUUAUGUUUGGGGUGAGGAUUGAUGGUUCAUGCUCAUGCAUAUGCACGCAGUUGCUCUUGACGGAAGCCAUGAGCCAACGAGUCCUCCGCCGCCGGUGCCAGGUCCCCAGAUGUCUCCGUCUCCAGUUCCAAUGCCUCCGGUCCAUCCUCCGCCGCCACCGCCGCCCAUGCCGGAGAUGUCAGCACUGGCGCCGCACCGCAAGACCCUGCAGCAAGCUGUCAGGGACGCCAUUUAAUUAUGCAUGAAACAGUGCUGCUCAUAUAUUAUUUUCGUCUAUGUAUGAUCUAUCAUGGUCCUAAGUAAUUGAGACGAUAAAUAAUGAUAUUAGCGUACAUAUGUACUCUCUUCAUUUUUUUUACUUCACGUAUAAAAUUUGGUCAAAGUCAAACUAUACAAAGUUUGACCAAAUUUAUAUAAAAGAAUUAUGAAUAUCUGCAAUA
rnacentral:lncRNA from 1 species